AUUAUCUGGUGUAGCAAUACAUCAGGUAGUUAGUGGCGUAAGGGUGCGUAACACGUGGGCAACCUGCCCGAGAGUUGGGGAUAGCCCGCCGAAAGGCGGAUUAAUACCGAAUGUGGCGAGGGAAGACAUCUUUCCGUAGCUAAAGCCGGGGCAACCUGGCGCUCUUGGAUGGGCCCGCGGCCUAUCAGCUAGUUGGUGAGGUAACGGCUCACCAAGGCUAUGACGGGUAGCUGGUCUGAGAGGACGACCAGCCACACUGGAACUGAGACACGGUCCAGACACCUACGGGUGGCAGCAGUCGAGAAUUUUUCUCAAUGGGGGAAACCCUGAAGGAGCGACGCCGCGUGGAGGAUGAAGGUCUUCGGAUUGUAAACUCCUGUCAUUGGUGAACAAGGCCCUCGGUUAACUGCCGUUGGGUUUGAUAGUAGCCGAAGAGGAAGAGACGGCUAACUCUGUGCCAGCAGCCGCGGUAAUACAGAGGUCUCAAGCGUUGUUCGGAUUCAUUGGGCGUAAAGGGUGCGUAGGUGGCGGGGCAAGUCUGGUGUGAAAUCCCGGGGCUCAACCCUGGAACUGCACUGGAUACUGCUUUGCUAGAGUACUGGAGAGGGAACUGGAAUUUACGGUGUAGCAGUGAAAUGCGUAGAUAUCGUAAGGAAGACCAGUGGCGAAGGCGAGUUCCUGGACAGUUACUGACACUGAGGCACGAAGGCCAGGGGAGCAAACGGGAUUAGAUACCCCGGUAGUCCUGGCAGUAAACGGUGCGCGUUUGGUGUAGGAGGAUUCGACCCCUUCUGUGCCGGA
rnacentral:rRNA from 1 species